rnacentral:rRNA from 1 species
UACAGAGGGUGCGAGCGUUAAUCGGAAUUACUGGGCGUAAAGCGCGCGUAGGCGGCUUUGCAAGUCGGGUGUGAAAAGCUGGGGCUUAACCCCAGUCCUGCUUCCGAUACGGGUGGGCUAGAGGUAGGUAGGGGAGAACGGAAUUCCUGGUGUAGCGGUGAAAUGCGCAGAUAUCAGGAGGAACACCGGUGGCGAAGGCGGUUCUCUGGGCCUUACCUGACGCUGAGGAGCGAAAGCAUGGGGAGCAAACAGG